rnacentral:rRNA from 1 species
UUCCUACGGGAGGCAGCAGUAGGGAAUCUUCCACAAUGGACUAAAGUCUGAUUUAGCAACUCCUCGUGAGUGAAGAAGGGUUUCGGCUCGUAAAGCUCUGUUGGUAGUGAAGAAAGGUAGAGGUAGUAACUGGCCUUUAUUUGACGGUAAUUACUUAGAAAGUCACGGCUAACUACGUGCCAGCAGCCGCGGUAAUACGUAGGUGGCAAGCGUUGUUCGGAUUUAUUGGGCGUUAAACGAAUGCAGGCGGU